UUACUUUCACAAUUAUUUUCUUAUGUACUUGAGAAUACUAAGAAUGACUAUGAUUGGACUACUCUGCAAACAGUUCAACAAGUUGGCAGCCCUUCUCUACUUCAACUUUAAGUUCCUCAAGCAGUUCUGCCACAUCUAAUAAACUUGUGUUCGGACUGCGUAGAAAGUGCAACGAGUUGGCAGCCCCGCUCCCAUAUGCCAGAAUACGGACAUGAUUAAUUGUUUGCUUUUUUUUGUAGCUUUUAUAGCUUUGCAUAUUUCACUCUUGCUUUCUGCCUCGCCCGCCUCACCUCGCUGCCUGCUGUUGUCCAUCUUUUGUUUCCCUCACUUUUAAAAUAACUCUUUUUUUUUGUUGUGUUGUAAAACGAAACGCAAUGCAACUGAAAUCAUGCAAAAGAGCAACAGCAACAGCAACAACAAUAGCAAUAGCAAGAACAACAACGACAACAGCAGCCAGCUUUGGCCGCAUGCUGCGGUGAGCCGCACACAUCAACAGCCAGCCAACAGGCAGCUGGGAAAGCAGAGAGAGAGAUAGAGGGAGAGAGCGACGCAGGGAGUCAGUCCGCCAUGGCCAGGCAAAACAGCAACAAUAAUAACAAACGAAACAACAAUAAAAAUGGUUGACCAGGCGAAAGUUAUUUACUGCAAAUCGGCGAAGUGAAGCGCAGAUCGCAGCUGACGACGCAACGCAACACAACGAGGGGUAAGAAGAGGAAGAAGGGGCAGCAACUGGCAACAUUUGCCCCAAUUUCCUGGCUGGCUUUAAAUAUGCUUCAAA